GGUCUCGUAGUGUUGUAAUACAUGCUGAAUUGCAAAUUCAGAGAAGCAGCUUCAAUUCUGCCGGGACUU
rnacentral:tRNA from 1 species